UACGUAGGGGGCAAGCGUUGUCCGGAAUCAUUGGGCGUAAAGCGCGUGUAGGCGGUCCGGUAAGUCGGCUGUGAAAGUCCAGGGCUCAACCCUGGGAUGCCGGUCGAUACUGCCGGACUAGAGUUCGGAAGAGGCGAGUGGAAUUCCCGGUGUAGCGGUGAAAUGCGCAGAUAUCGGGAGGAACAUCUAUGGCGAAGGCAGCUCGCUGGGACGUUACUGACGCUGAGACGCGAAAGCGUGGGGAGCAAACAGG
rnacentral:rRNA from 1 species